CUCCAGCAGACCCUCCCUCCCAGACCCUUCUACUUCCUGGACAGCAUCCAUGUUGAAACAUGGAUGCUGUCCAGGAAGUAGAAGGGUCUGGGAGGGAGGGUCUGCUGGAG